GCGGAACACGUACACAACCUUCCUUUAAGCGGGGAAUAGCCCGGGGAAACCCGGAUUAAUACCCCAUAGUACGUCGAGAGGGCAUCCUCUUGAUUUUAAAGAUUUAUCACUUAAAGAUGGGUGUGCGGCUGAUUAGGUAGUUGGCGGGGUAACGGCCCACCAAGCCUACGAUCAGUAACUGGUGUGAGAGCACGACCAGUCACACGGGCACUGAGACACGGGCCCGACUCCUACGGGAGGCAGCAGUAAGGAAUAUUGGUCAAUGGACGAAAGUCUGAACCAGCCAUGCCGCGUGGAGGAUGAAGGUCCUCUGGAUUGUAAACUCCUUUUAUAUGGGACGAAAAAGGGUCUUUCUAGACCAACUGACGGUACCAUGUGAAUAAGCACCGGCUAACUCCGUGCCAGCAGCCGCGGUAAUACGGAGGGUGCAAGCGUUAUCCGGAUUCACUGGGUUUAAAGGGUGCGUAGGUGGGUUGGUAAGUCA
rnacentral:rRNA from 1 species